CACUGCUACUACUACUAUAUAUUUCUUUAAAUCAGUACAAGAACCGUUGCACCACUCCAAAAUGAUUAAUUAACACCACAACAAUGGUUAAAACAUUGAUAUGGCCAGAGCAAAUUUAAACCGACAGCCAAAACCAAAUCAAAAGCGUAAAGGCCUGCUUAAAUACAUGGCUUCCGAUAUGUUUAAGNCUGCAAGAUGAUGACAAGUUUGGGAUUUUAUUAUAUCACUCUCCUUCCCCUUCAGUUGUUGCUGAGGACAUGUAACUCAUGGCAAGUGAGGUCUCAUCUGCCGGUGCAGCCACCGCUGGUGCUUGGAAUUGUUGCUUGCAAGCUUGGCAAGUGAUUUGCAUGAUUGUAGAACUGAUCUUCUUUGUAGCUUGUUCUCUUAAUACUUGAGCCUUUUCAAGUUCAGCUG
rnacentral:misc_RNA from 1 species